rnacentral:lncRNA from 1 species
CCGGUUGAUUGUAGAAAACCUCAAAGCUGUUUGCAAAAAGAAUAAAGCAGUAAGAUUAUUAGUAAAAACCAUUUUUUAAAAACUAAAAGCCAGCGAGGAACAAAAUCUGCUGAGAACAUUACGGGGCCCCAGGGAGCCCUCGGCUUCUAAUAAGGAAGGUCUUCAUUUCUGAUGGCUCCUCUGAAAGUGGGAACAGAUGGGAUCCUGGAAUGGGGGGGAUACAUGCGCCCACCACCAACUCCGGGGAAUAAAGGGGCGCAUUAGACCGACCGGCAGCAUCGCUUCCAGCAGGACUUCAAAACGCCUGCAAGUUCAUUGCUUCACACUGGGGGCGAAGCAGGCCCAGACAGGGGGGGGGCAUAUGGGCCACUUGGCUGGGGCCCCCGAUUCCAAAGGGGGCCUCGGUCAGCAUAUUUAUCUAUAUUUUCCAUUUUGUCUUUAUAUGCAGAUACGGUUCAAGCCUUGAAAUAAAAUUAUUUGUCAGCAUACCUGGCCCGGGCCUCUGCCUGGCUCUGCAAGGCUCUGGGGCGAAGCCUCGCAUUUGAACCACCACCAGCAGGAAUUAUGAUCUGAAAUCCCUCCACAGAAGACAGGGAGGGAGGGAGGGAGGGAUAUAAGGUGAUUCACUAGGUGUGUGCCCAGUGUUAACCUUUUCCUUCCAGCCUUAACAUCACCAUCAGCCUUCGAGGUUAGAGCAUCAGGAUCGCACCAGUCAGUCGGCUCACUGGGGCCGUUGCGCGUUGCUCGCCACCGACUGCAACGAGGCCUAUUCAGUAGAGUCUGAUAACAUUCUCACAGCCUUCCCCACGUACCACUCCGUACAUAGCAACAGGCACAUUAGCUGGGGGUGGAGAGAAGAUUGGGGAACUGCCUUUCGCCAGCAGCAACAGAGACCUCUGCCUGGCCGCUGAGAAGCAACAAAUGCAGCAUGAAACUAAAGCAAUUCUUCGAGUCUCUGGAUCGUGCGGGAAACACUUAUUGCAUGAAUAAAAAACGUGUUUGGGCUCCUUUAAUAUCUUUGGAAAGUUGCAUUUUUGUGCCUCCCACCCCCCCAUAUCUUAAUUUCGACGGAGCCUCAGCUUCAGGAUCUGUCCUUCCAGUGAGCACUCAGG